rnacentral:rRNA from 1 species
UUUGAAAGGGGAACGAUUGAAGUCAGUCGUACCGGCGGGCAAUCAGCCUUUCGGGUGUGAUUAUGUGGAGCGUGAGGAGCUAAUCACCUUCAUGCCUGCAUAUUCGUGCACUUUGGGUGUACUUGCUCGUGUGGUAGGUUAACAUCAAUUUUGAUCGUCAUAAAAUGGUUGGAGGAAUGUAGCUUCGAUCUCGUAUUGAAGUGUUAUAGCCUUUGGCAGAUGUGAUGAUUGGGAUUGAGGAUUGCAACGAACCCUUCGGGGCUACCUGUCUGAUCUCUGAGAGUUGCUCUGGUGCUGAAAGCUUGCUUAUGGUAUCAAAGUUGACGUUCAAUAGGUUAGAACGGGAUAAAUUCGUUAAGGUGACGUAA